AGAUUGAACGCUGGCGGCAUGCCUUACACAUGCAAGUCGAACGGCAGCGCGGGGCAACCUGGCGGCGAGUGGCGAACGGGUGAGUAAUAUAUCGGAACGUACCCUGGAGUGGGGAUAACGUAGCGAAAGUUACGCUAAUACCGCAUACGAUCUAAGGAUGAAAGUGGGGGAUUCGCAAGAACCUCAUGCUCCUGGAGCGGCCGAUAUCUGAUUAGCUUAGGUUGGUAGGGGUAAACGGCCU
rnacentral:rRNA from 1 species